UGCACACUACUUAGCGCAGAAAAGGCAGAGUCAAUGAAGGCGCACAAUUGGAUUCUUCCUAUGUCGCACGUGUGACGAUGCACUGCGAGCGCAACGUGAUUCCUCGUAAACACACGUUUCUGAUCUAUUUUUGUAGCGGCCGUUACCGAAUCAAAACACGCAAGAUUAUAUAGGCGGGCUAAGCGAUUGAGAAUGUGUACACUUGUCUAUCUCCUGUAUGUGUGCAUGAUGAAUACAUGUAUCUUAUCGCGUCGACGCACCGCGUGUUGCGCACAUUGAAAUGUGAAAAAAGAAAUUCCUGUUGCGCAGUUACCGACCUCACCUGUCUACCAUUUGUUGUUUACGCCACUUUAGAUAUGCGUCAAGUGAAACAUUAAAGUUGCUGUUUAAUGCCGGUGUAAACAAAACAACAUUUAGACUCCAUAUUUCAAAUACCCUUCAGUAUUUAAACCGAACUGACUUAAUCAAUUUAUUCAAAAUUGAAAUUCAUUUAUUCUGAUUUUUUGUCAAGUUUACCUUUGCCUCCAAAUACACGUUACUAGUCUUGCUGGUUAAUAUUGAAAUGAAGUGUUAGUGCUGUUUAACAACUUUUUGUCAGUAAUAUUUGUGUUGUAUUUGCGCAGUUCUUUUGCUAUCGUCGUUUUUAUAUUCUAAUCCUGAAGUUCCAUGGCCGUUAAACGUGUUCCGACUUCAUUAAGAAUGGUGAAUUUAUACAUGGACGCCAUGGCGAAUAUAUUAGGAUAAAGUGUCAAGGCGUUUACUCGUUAACGAGACACGUGAGUUGGCGUAUGCAUGAAGCGGAUGAUCCUUGAACUCGCCUGUACGAAGUCAGCAGGAAAAUAUUGAUUGUUUCUGUUUGACCUACCUCAACAGAAAAACGAGAGGAAUACUAGAGCACCGGCAUCGUUUACGGGUUAAGAACUUUUGCGAACUGGAGUUUGAUGCUCUGACGUUCAACUUUAACAUUUUGAUGUUCUCUGUUAAAUACUUGACUGAAACAUUAGUCUACCAUUACUCUAAAUAGCCUGAUCAUUCAAAUAUAUCAAAUUAAAAAAUUACCUUAAUGCUCCAAUACCCUUUUAAUAUUUCAAUGCCACAAAUACACCAGCACUCAAUGCUCUCACACAUUCCAACACCUCGCUCAAGCCUCACACAUGCGUGCAGUUCCCAAUCUGUUAGAAAGAUUAAAGGUAUUAGAUGACAGUGUUUUAGAUGUGUUUUGAUGUUUGAAGGACGAAUACAACCCGAUUGCAUAAUCCGGAUGCGUCGUAACCAAGCACCACGGUAAACAGUGCGUUGGCCGCGGCGAUCUGCCACGAACUAGGUCAAUAGGACAGAGUACCUGCUUGUAAACUCAGAAUAUCUAAUAAACUGUGACAAUCACCUUUCUUGUUUAUCUUAACUAGUAUUACUCUACUGAUACUCUUGUAUCUAAAUACACAACGACGCACAAGGUGCGUCACCAGUAUCUGAUUCAUAGAAUAGCAUAAGAUGCGUCGCUUAUCUUAUUCUAUAAAUAAGAUAAGAGACACUUGGUACAUCGUCCGACGGAAAAGUGCUAAAUACGGAAAACAUGCGUGAACACGUGCACACUAGCUGCUCAGCGUACAAUGUAACCACAUGCCUGGCAACUUUCCAUUUAUCAGCAAUUUUUCAGUUAUGAGAUCAAGCAAGUACGUCAUAGGCCGUAUCCCAAAGAUACCACAUGUUCGUCGACUGAUUCGGUGUCUGGUGUUACAUAGAACUCUCUCAAGAUUUUCAACCGCAAUUCACCAUCGUCGCCUUUUCGCCAAGUGCAUUACUCGCGUGCAAACUGGACGUAUAGUAAUUGAACGAGCGUUUCAAGGCCGUCCGUAAAUGAAUGCAAUUGCAUACGGGAAAUGUCUUGGAGUGUAGUCUCGAUGGGAUCAACGAGGAGCAAGAGUCCAUCUUGGGCAAUAACGAGCAGCGAAAUAUAAGAAAAAACUAUGGACCCAUUAGCAAGAAGUGCGCGUGAUCAUUUGUGUUACAAACUAAUUAAUAGGUUUAUCUCAUUUUCUGCGUACUGCAAUUGUGUAUCCAAAAACGGUAGUGAAUAUCCAUACUUCUGGUAAUGUGGAAACUUCCAAUUAGGUGAAAUACAAGAUCGCAAAUGAAUGUUUGUUUGUCCAUAGUCGGGGACAGUCGAUGAAACAUCUACCACGUUGGUUGACUACGUGACCAGAUGCACGUUUUCGGCGACGAAAAGGGGAGCCCCUUUAAAUGGGUCUCGGCAAAAGAGGUUCACGACCAUCCAUCACGUGCAUACGACCGUGCUACCUGAUUUUGUUCUUUCAAGCUUGUAACUUAUACUCAAGUUACCCAAGAUCUAGACAGCUUCAAUACUUAUGUUUUAGAAUAUAGAAUCAUUUUUCCACAACUCAUACUAGAUUGUACGAAUAGAUUAUUUAGUCACGUCCUAUUAAAUCUGCAAGCUUCUGAAAUUACCAUUCAAUUACUUUAAAAUGAACUAAAGAUACAGAGAAAUUUAGAAAUGUGUAUCAUACAUAUAUGUUUUUAUAAUAUAGAAGAAUAAAUCUGUAAAUGGUUCAUCUCUCUCU
rnacentral:lncRNA from 1 species